rnacentral:rRNA from 1 species
AUGCAGGAAGAGUUUCACACGUUUCACACUGUUACCAUCCGGGGCAGAGGUGUGACACUUGUGGUUCUAGUACGGGAUUCAGAUAACUACGUCCUUGCAGUCAAAGUGUAUUUAACUGAAGAAGAGUCCCGUGUUGCUCCUUGGUUUCUCUUUAAAGGUGUGAAACUUCCAAGCAGGUUCAAGAAUGUUGUGCCAACACACUAUAGUUUUGGUCAUGACUACAAGGGUGAGAUUAAAUUUGGUAAAAAUGUCUUACCUAAACUGAUGGAUUUUAUGGUCCAGCUCCGACUUGAUCCAGGACAGACAGCCACUGACAAAAACAGUCUCUUGCUGGGCGCUUUGUUCGUGUUGCUAGGUGAAGCUCAGCGGUUCAGGCGGGUUAGGAAUUGGACCAUGCGGACCCUGAGAUGCAUUGAACCUAAACCCGUUCCAAAGUGCCUUAGUUUGUUAUUCCAAUCUUGGUCGGAUAUAUCAAAAACCAUUUUUCACUUUGUGUUGGGAUUGGAAAGCAUGCGUCUGAUUGCACCACAGAUGAAAUCCUUGGAUCUAGAAGAGAACUACUUCAUGAUGAAAGCUCUAGAAGAAUGGGAAAACAGCAGAAGAGUACACAAUGAUAUGAAACAGUGUGGAUUAAAGUACAGAAACAGUGAAGGAGAGAUCUCGCUUGGUUGUCUCCUUGGUGGUGAAUUGCUGUUAUUGCGGCAUGAUCCGGUAUUGUGCACCAAAAUUUUGAUGAGAAGACAAGACUUUGCGGGCGAUGUUAAUCUCCGUAAGAUUGUUGUUUCUUACAAGAUGCCACAGCUUCCAGAGCCACAGCAGCAAGUGCCACCGCAGGCAGAGCCUCAGCAUCAAGUGCCACCGCAGGAAGAGCCUCAGCAGCAGGUGCCACAACUUCCAGAGCCACAGCAGCAAGAGCCUCAGCAGCAGGUGCCGCAACUUCCAGAGCCACAGCAGCAAGUUGUACAGCUGCCAGAGCCACAGCAGGAUGGCCAGGUGCGGAGCAGCAGCAUGGGCGGUAGCAACAGGAAGAAGAAGGGCAAGCUCAAUGAAGAGAAGCGUCAGGAAGAGUUGGAGAGGAGGAGGAAACUGGAUGAUGAGCAGCAACAGCAGGAAGUGCCUGAUAAGAACCGGAGGAAAAACAAGAAGGGCAACAGCAGACUAAGGAAGCAGCAACAGUAA